CAGCUGCCGCGCAGCUCAGUUCGCGUCCGGAGGUCGGAGGUGUGGGUCUGGUGUUCGCGGUCGGAGCGGCUGUGGAAAAAAAUCCCCUCUUCGCCCCUGGCUGAGGAAGGGAGGCGUCCGUUGGGCCUUUCUCUUCGUCCUGCGUGAAGGUCGGCGGCCUGUGGAACCGAGUCUCCGGGAAGGCUCCUCAGAGACCAGGAAGCUCCCUACCGCAGGCCCAGAUGUCAAACUACGUGAACGACAUGUGGCCGGGCUCGCCCCUGCAGUCCCCGGCAGCCUCGGGCGGGUCCAGCCGGCUGUCCUCGGCGACCCGGAGCCGCUCUUCCAGAAGCUCGCGGUCCCGUUCCAGCGGCUCCAGUCGGUGGUCCAGCAGCAGCGGGAGCCGGCCCCGGCGCAGGAGCAGGUCCCGGUCUCGGUCCCGAAGGCGCCACCAGCGGAAGUACAGGCGCUACUCGCGGUCUUACUCGCGGAGCCGGUCGCGCUCCCGCAGCCGCCGGUACCGGGAGAGGCGCUACGGCUCCUCCAGGCGGUACCGGUCUCCCUCGCCAGACCGAUCGCGCAGCCGGUCCCGCUCUCGGGGACGGUCGUAUUACCGAAGGGCCUACGCGGUCACGCGGGGGCGACGCUACUACGGCUUUGGCCGCACGGUGUACCCGGAGGAGCACGGGAGUUGGCGGGGAAGAUCCAGGUCGAGGUCCAGGUCGCGGUCGCGGUCCCCCACGCCUUUCCGCCUAAGUGAGAAAGACCGAAUGGAGCUGUUAGAAAUAGCAAAAGCCAAUGCAGCAAAAGCCUUAGGAACAACCAACUUUGAAUUGCCCCCUAGUCUCAGAAUUGUUCCUGUGUCUAAAGAAACAAACCAUGGAACAGCUGUAUCAAAUAAUGGUGCAAAGUUUGAGGUAAGUAUUCUAGGUUUAUCCAGACAAAAUCUUCAAAAAGCUGCUGCCAGACCUGAUUAGCAAUUUUUAUUCAGUGUAUCUUAGCCUUCUUGGAAAGGCUAGCUAAAUAUAAUUUAUUAAAGUAAAAAUAGCAGAUCUGACAUCACUAGAUUUAGUCUCUUCCAUAAAAGUGGGAGAUUACUGACCAUUAUUUUCAGUUGACACAGAAUUAAUUGCUUUCAUGAUUGUAGCUGGUACUUUGGUGAUUUCUAUGUAGUUACCAAAUUUUUCUAACUCAUCUUUACAGAGUAUCUGUAGUUUUCAUUUGCAGCAUAAUGUUCCCAGAAAUUCUGUACUCAACAUACAGUAUAGUUUACCUGCUUUAUUUCUGUCUUAUAGAAAUCAUGAAUGUGGUCUCCAGACAUUGCUGAAGAAAAUCUGUUGAUGUUUUGAGAGAUUACAGAAGAAGAGGCCUGCUUCACUUGCAGAUAAGUUUAUAAUUCUACAGAAAUGUGCAGGAUGUGCAUUGGCAAACUGCACUUUGUUCUUUAAGUUAUGUUGAAACCCAGAGCAUAAAACCAUAGCUUUGAAGUUUAAGGUAGUUAAGAAUUGAUAGUCUAUGUAAACAGGAAAGAUAUUACCUAGAUAAUCCUAUCAUUCCGACCCAGUCGUGGGUAUGCUUUAUUAGUAGUAGACAAAAUCUUAGUUGAGUUGCUUUUUCAGACGACUAGUUGCUUUUUCGACAACUGGGCUAAUGCCUUAGUUCAGCGAUUUUCAACCUCUUUCAUCUCAUGGCACACAUAAAUUAUAAUUAAUAAAAUUCUGUGGCACACCAAAAAAUAUAUUUUUUUGCUGAUAUGAUUUAAAAGGUAUAAUUUUGAUACAUUCACACCAGAUGGCUAUUGUGUUGGCAGUUUUCAAAUAAAAGGGAAAAGAGAUCAGUGCCCCUGACUAAAUAGUCAGGUAUUGCAUAUUAUAGAAAUUCUUGAAGUACACUGGUUUAAAAUCGCAGCUUAGUUCUUUGUAACUAGGUAUUUUCUGGUAUGGCUUGACUUUCAGAGUUAACUUGUAUUUGGGAAUACAAUACAGCUUUAUGGGGAAGCCUGUCUUCAUCAGAUCCAUUUAUUGUAUCAGUUUUGUUAACGGGAAAAACAUUCCAGUGUUUAUACUACUAGCUGUAUGGUUAGAUCCAACUUGAUUUGCUGUGUCUCUACAGCUAAAUUUAUAUGCAGUUGGGCUGGCUGCUUUGUAUACAGUACUCUAAACCAAAAAUACGGUUUUAAGAAUAUAUAUUUUCUCUUCCUGUCUAGCUAUCCGGAAAGCUAACAGAAGAUGGAACUAAAAAUGCCAAUGAAAAGUCUUCCCAGCAAAAAAGCAUUAGCUCUAAUAAAUCCGCUGAAGAGACCUCUUCAGGAUCCCUAAAAAUAAAUCA